rnacentral:rRNA from 1 species
GGUUAACGCUGGCGGCGUGCCUAACGCAUGCAAGUCGAGCGAGGGCUCAUUUCCCGCAAGGGAGGUGGGUUCCUAGCGGCGAACGGGUGAGUAACACGUGGGCAACCUUUCCCAUCGUGGGGGAUAACACCGGGAAACCGGUGCUAAUACCGCAUGAGGUCACUGGGGGGCAUCCCUGGUGAAGAAAGCAGUGAUGCGCGAUGGGGGUGGGCCCGCGGCCUAUCAGCUAGUCGGUGGGGUGAUGGCCUACCGAGGCAUUGACGGGUAGCUGGUCUGAGAGGACGGCCAGCCACACGGGGACUGAGACACGGCCCCGACUCCUACGGGAGGCAGCGAGCGGGGAAGUAAUUCCGCAAUAGGGCGCAAGCUGACGGAGCGACGCCGCGUGUGGGAU